CGCCGCUCCGCCGCCGGCUCCGCCGGGCAAAGCAAGUGCAGGCUGGCAAGUGUACAUGAAACCUCCGAAUCUGCAGUGGGUGUGAAGCAUGGCUCUUGCUGCUGUGAUCCACUAGCCUAGAGCAACAAAAAGAGGUUCUUUAAAAUAUGUGCAGCAUCUAUGUAAGAUCAUCAGCAACGGAUGUGCAAGAUUUUGAACCUAUGUGUAUCGAUAGUUCACAGAAGAGUUCACUGAGGAGAGGUUUGGAGGGAGUGUUUUGUUUCUGACCUUCAGAACAGGAAGAAUUUGGUGGCAAUGGAUCUUGUGCAAACCUGAGUCCCUCAAUAAAAUAAAGUGUAAACAGAUAAGAAGACUUCUAUGAAAUUCUGGGACAGUCUCUGAAGUGUCAGUGACACCUUUGAAGGUGGAUGAAUGGAUCAAUUUGGCACAUGCUGGAGAGAAGAAACAACAGCAUCUAAAAAUGCGAUCGUGAUAAGCCAUGAAUACCAAGUGGGUCAGUACCUUCCUUGUUCAGAGGACCAAGUUAUCUUCCAGGCUUGUGGCAUAGCAUGGGAGGCAUAUGCAGCAGGCGUCACCAUAGGAGCAGCUUCAUAACUACAAGAAAUGGAGAAAUGUUUCUCCUUCUCAUAGAUUCAACUGGCAAGUAAUAGAUGUUUGUGUGACAUGAUGAAUUCAAUGGGUAUGUUUAAUCCCUUUGGCAAAUCACAUUUCACAACUUCUGACAAGAAACAUCCAUUAAGUACUCUUCCUACCCUCAGAAUUGUGUGUGACCUGUGGCACAAUUCAGUACAUUGAUCGAUGCACAGUGAAGAAUACUGGAAAUGUGGACUGAGUAAUAAGCAACAGUAGAGACUGAAAUUGCAACUACCGGAAAACAGGUGAUAAAGUUGGAGUCACUGUUGGUGUUUAAGAAGAGACUACCAUGUUCCAGUUGCCAAGAUGGUGUUAAGUCAAAGGUUGGACUUGAUGAUCUCAGAGGUCUUUUCCAACCUAAUUUAUCCUGUGGUUCUGGGAACGAAGGGCAACCUCCCACCAGCAGUAUUUGUUUUCCAUGAGAAGAUCGUCAGCAAGAACACCGGGAUUUUGCAGGUGCAAGAUCAUGAGACCUACAUCACAAGAACAGUAGCAUGGGAAACCAAGGGAGGUCCACGCCCACAGAGGUGCUGAGAAGACUGCUGCAACAGCUGAGGAGAGAGGCCUCAGAGUUGCAAACAGUGGGGCUUUAGCAUUACUAAGGCAAUAAACACUAAGAUACCCAAGGUACAGUGCAGCAACACCAGCCUCCUUAUCCUGAGACUGGAAUUUGAAGUAUCUUAGAAAAGAUUUUUUGUUUUCUUCUCCUUUGUCCUGUAAAAGUGGUAUUCCAGGGAUGACAAGAUAUGGGUAGAUUUUUAUGGGAGGAUAAAUCCAUUUGCAAAGAAAAAAGACAAGAUAGACAUUCUCUUGGAUUAUAUCCUGAAGAUAAAGCUUUAAAAUGUAAUUUGAAAUGUUUUGACAAUUCACAAUACCUCUUUUUGGAAUAUAACAUUUUUUAUUUUGUUUUAGAAUAUUUUUAAAACUGUUUUAUUUAGGUUUUUUUUUUAGUCUGAAAGGUUAGUGCCAAUUACACUGAUUUCUUCAACUUGAGAAAAAUCUAAACAGUAAGUGAAAAAAUUUCUUUGGUCAGUCUAAAGCACAGUGCAUUGCAGUCAGUGCUGAUGUGCAAUUUGGUGGCUACUGUUGUCUGCUUCCAUAGAGCAAAAGAAGAUCAAUCUCUAAAUACAGAAAUUUCAGUUUUGCCUGCUAACGACACAUUUUUAAAUGCAUUUCAGUUUUACUGGCAAAUGUUCCUACCUGUAGAAGAUAUAGCAUAUUGGAAUGAAAAACCUCCAGAUAAAUCAUGGUUUAAGUAUAAGCAGAUUAGUAUUAAAUGAAACACAAAUAGAUGCAUUUACUCUGGGAAGCUCCCAAACUAAUGGACAGACAAAAUUGCCUAGAAAGAUGCAGAAAAUGUCAGUGACAUUCUGUGUGUAUGGGUGAAAGUCAGUGGCGAGUUACAGAGAAAAUGUAUUACAUUCCAGAAGAAUAGCUAUUUGGAGCAAUAUUUAAAAAAAAAAAAAAAUGUUAGGAGUCUGUUCAGUGGGAAGCAGGAGCUCAUGCUGCUCUAGAAGCUGGGGAGAGGAACAGAAAGAAGGCAGGAUGUGAGGGAUGAAACAUGGUGUGAUGGAAGACAACAGGACAAGAAACAGAUCUUUUCUUUACUUGGAGGCUGAGGUGGGAAUUUAGAGGCAAUUUUUUAGGUGCUGAUUGAAUGUUGUUUCUUUUUCCCUCACACUGAUAUUUUUUUUCCCAAGGAAUCACAGAGUCCAAAGAAUUUGUAGGCAACAUGCAGCUAGUGGCAAGAAGUUUAAGGGGAUAUGCUGGGGGAUGGAAGAGCUGAAGGAAGGAGACUAAGUAGAACUUUCAUUCCCCAUACUUGAAACAUUUUAGUCAUUGUCAAAACAGAAGCAGCCUUCAUUCUUUUUGUGCAGUUAUCACAGGAAGAAAAAAUAUUUAGCUGAGGAAUGACACAUUUUUCCUUCAAUAUGUUUUCCUGUGGUGCUCUUACGUGGAAGCUUCCCAGUCAACUUAAAGUAAGCUUGAGUAUCCUUUUUUUAGACAAAUAUAAGGACCUGUAUAUAAGUUUGUUCUAAACUGUCUCUUGAAUUCAUCACUGGGUGACUGAUGUCUUUGCAGUCGUACACAGAAAUUCUUGUAUUGUGCCUUCCUUUCUGCAUAUGUGCUUUCCUACACAGGACCUUUUCAAUCUUCCAGUGGCAUCCUGACCUGUGUCAAAAAUAACGUGGAGAGCAGUACUAGGAAGUGAUUCUCUCCCUGUACUCACCACUAGUGAGGCCGCAUCAGUUUUGGCCCCCCCAAUUCAGGAAGGAUAUUGAGGUGCUGGAGCAGGUGUAGAGAAGGGCAGCAAAGCUGGUGAAGAGUUUGGAGCAGAAGUCCUAUGAGGAGCAGCUGAGGGAGUUGGGGGUGUUUAGCCUGGAGAAGAGGAGGCUCAGGGACAACAUUAUUGGUCUCUACAAGUACCUGAAAGGAGGUUGUUGCGAGGUGGGGUUUGGCUUCUUUUCCCAGGCAACUAAUGACAGGAUAAGAGGACAUAGUCUUAAGCUGUGACAGGGGAGUUUUAAGUGGGACAUUAGGAAGAAAUUCUUCACAGAAAGGGUGAUUAGACAUUGGAAUGGGCUACCUAGGGUAUUGGUGGAGUCACUGUUCCUGAAAGUGUUUAAGGAACAAUUGGACGUGGGACUUAGUGCCAUGGCCUAGUUGACAUGGUGAUGUUCAGUCAUAGGUCAGAAUCGAUGAUCUCAGAGGUCUUUUCCAGCCUAAUUGAUUCUGUGAUUCUGUGAUAAAUGAGUAUCUUAAGGUCUUCUCCUCCAAGAAAAAAUUUAUAAAAUCCCUCAAGGUCUGAAAGAUGGGGUGAUUUUUAAUAUCUUCAAACUUAUGUUAUAUCUGUAGCACUGAGACAUUUCCCAGUAGGCACAUUUUGAAUCCUUUGGCAGCGAUGAGUAACUUAUUGUUAUACAAACUGUACCAUUAAAUUUCCUGUGAUACGUCUUUUCUACUACCUUACUUUGGGUCUUAAUGAAAUUUGAACUUGGAUUGCUUCCAUCUGAGUCUGGAUCAUUAAUUUUCUUUGUGUGAUGGCUUAUGCUCCAGCUCAUCUUUUUUGUCUCAUGUUGUUUCUUCUGCCAGUAAAUAUGGGUUUGGAGUGAAAUUUGGCUUGUAUUUGGACUCUGUCCCAAAACUCUGUUACAACUCAAUGUGAAUGCUCUUCCACAGUUGUACUAGAAUAUUUGGUGCUUUACUUUACUCUUUCUGACAUGUUCAAAUACUAUUUUAGCAUUUUUUGUUCUUUUCCUUCUUUCCUUAGUCUCACAAUGAGAAGGAAAAAAACCAAAACUAAAUAAAAAACAAAACCCAAACUAAAGAAAGGAAAAAAAAAAAGAAAGAAAAAAGAAAAAUAACUGCAAGAUAUUUAUAACCCACUGCAGGAUGAAUAACUUGAUUGUUACAAAGACUGUCAAGGAUCAAUAUGAAUACAUCUUCUGUGAUUAAGUUUUAAAAAAUUAAGAAGCAAAAUAGCUUUGUAGCAAAGUAAAACCAGCUCUACAGUGUAGUGCCUUACAUUUUCCAUAUUUUAGUAGUGCCAUACAUUUCCAAUUUUAGUAACUUUUAUAAUUCUAUAGAUGGCAGAUGUUGAGAAUAAAAAGAACAUUUAUUAUGAAAUCAGUAGAUACUUAUAUAC